UACGAAGGGUGCAAACGUUUGCUCGGAAUUAUUGGGCGUAAAGCGCACGUAGGCGGCUUUGAAAGUCGGAUGUGAAAUCCCUCGGCUCAACCAAGGAAGUGCAUCCGAAACUGCAGAGCUUGAGUACCAAAGAGGAUCGCGGAAUUCCCGGUGUAGAGGUGAAAUUCGUAGAUAUCUGGAGGAAUACCGGUGGCGAAGGCGGCAUCCUGGACCGGCAUUGACGCUGAGGAGCGAAAGCCAGGGGAGCAAACGGG
rnacentral:rRNA from 1 species